rnacentral:rRNA from 1 species
GUUUACCUACGGGACGCAGCAGUGGGGGAUAUUGCACAAUGGGGGGAACCCUGAUGCAGCGACGCCGCGUGGGUGAAGGAGCGUUUCGGCGCGUAAAGCCCUGUCAGCGGGGAAGAAGAAAGACGGUACCCGACCAAGAAGCCCCGGCUAACUACGUGCCAGCAGCCGCGGUAAUACGUAGGGGGCGAGCGUUAUCCGGAAUUACUGGGUGUAAAGGGAGCGUAGACGGCGAGGUAAGCCUGAAGUGGAAGCCCGCGGCCCAACCGCGGAACUGCUUUGGGAACUGUUUUGCUGGAGUAUGGGGG